UUUCUUGGGGAAGGUUCGUCCGCCCAAGGUAAGCCGGGAGCUAAGGCGAGGCCGCAAGGCGUAGUCGAUGCACAUACGGUAGAAAUUCCGUAGCCGGCUCAACUGUUAAGCAUACUGACACAUGAGAGUAGCUCUACCGGGCGUUGGUUGCCCCGGGCGUAAGCGAGCCGAAUGAGGCGAAGUGAGUAAAUCUUGUGGCGAGAAAAGGUGUGUGUAUUGGUUGGGCUGCCCGUACCGCAAACCGACACAGGUAGAUGAGGAGAAGAUCCUAAGGCCAUCGGGAGAAGGGUUGUUAAGGAACUAGGCAAAUUGACCCCGUAACUUCGGGAGAAGGGGUGCCUACGAGAGUAGGCCGCAGAGAAUCGGCCCAAGCAACUGUUUACCAAAAACACAGGUCUCUGCUAAAUCGAAAGAUGACGUAUAGGGGCUGACGCCUGCCCGGUGCUGGAAGGUUAAGAGGAGGACUUAGUGGCAACACGAAGGCCCGAAUUGAAGCCCCAGUAAACGGCGGCCGUAACUAUAACGGUCCUAAGGUAGCGAAAUUCCUUGUCAGGUAAGUUCUGACCCGCACGAAAGGCGUAACGAUUUGGGCGCUGUCUCGGCAGCAGACUCGGUGAAAUCUUAGUACCUGUGAAAAUGCAGGUUACCCGCAACUAGACGGAAAGACCCCAUGGAGCUUUACUGCAGCCUGAUAUUGAGUUUCGAUCAGAGAUGUACAGGAUAGGUGGGAGACAAAGAGACAUGCACGCCAGUGUAUGAGGAGUCGCUGUUGGGAUACCACUCUUGUCUGAUUGGAAUUCUAACCUGCAUCCCUAAGCGGGAUGAGGGACCGUGUCAGGUGGGCAGUUUGACUGGGGCGGUCGCCUCCCAAAGAGUAACGGAGGCGCCCAAAGGUACGCUCAGAUUGGAUGGAAAUCAAUCGACGAGUGCAAAUGCAGAAGCGUGCUUGACUGCGAGACAAACAGGUCGAGCAGGGACGAAAGUCGGGAUUAGUGAUCCGGCGGUGCAGAAUGGAAUGGCCGUCGCUUAACGGAUAAAAGCUACCCUGGGGAUAACA
rnacentral:rRNA from 1 species